rnacentral:tRNA from 1 species
GGGGUUGUGGCUCAGAGGUAGAGCGAAUGCCUAGUAUGUGUGAGGCCCUGGGUUUGAUCCUCAGCACCACA